UGUCAGGGUGGAGAAGUGGCAUCUCGCUUGGUUCAUACCCAAGAGAUCGCGGGUUCGAGUCCCGCCCCUGCAACCA
rnacentral:tRNA from 1 species